rnacentral:rRNA from 1 species
AUUGAACGCUGGCGGCAUGCCUUACACUUGCAAGUCGAACGGUAACAGGUCUUCGGACGCUGACGAGUGGCGAACGGGUGAGUAAUACAUCGGAACGUGCCCAGUCGUGGGGGAUAACUACUCGAAAGAGUAGCUAAUACCGCAUACGAUCUGAGGAUGAAAGCGGGGGACCUUCGGGCCUCGCGCGAUUGGAGCGGCCGAUGGCAGAUUAGGUAGUUGGUGGGAUAAAAGCUUACCAAGCCGACGAUCUGUAGCUGGUCUGAGAGGACGACCAGCCACACUGGGACUGAGACACGGCCCAGACUCCUACGGGAGGCAGCAGUGGGGAAUUUUGGACAAUGGGCGCAAGCCUGAUCCAGCCAUGCCGCGUGCAGGAUGAAGGCCUUCGGGUUGUAAACUGCUUUUGUACGGAACGAAAAGCCUUCUUCUAAUAAAGGGAGGUCAUGACGGUACCGUAAGAAUAAGCACCGGCUAACUACGUGCCAGCCGCCGCAGUAA